GGUUAACGCGAGGAGGCAGACAUGGGACUUACGCAAUCCUUGAAUGUCCUGUUGGUCAGUGCAGCGUUCGCAUUCGUCGUAUCCAUGCUCUUCAUUUGAGCCGAUACGAAGCGUAAAGACUGAAUACCGAACUCCUGAAACAAUCAGCCCCAGAUAUUGAAAAGCGCAUGCCCCGCCCGGCAUGCGCUUU
rnacentral:sRNA from 1 species